AAUAGAUACCCGGGUAGUCCACGCCGUAAACGAUGUCGACUUGGAGGUUGUUCCCUUGAGGAGUGGCUUCCGGAGCUAACGCGUUAAGUCGACCGCCUGGGGAGUACGGCCGCAAGGUUAAAACUCAAAUGAAUUGACGGGGGCCCGCACAAGCGGUGGAGCAUGUGGUUUAAUUCGAUGCAACGCGAAGAACCUUACCUACUCUUGACAUCCAGAGAACUUAGCAGAGAUGCUUUGGUGCCUUCGGGAACUCUGAGACAGGUGCUGCAUGGCUGCCGUCAGCUCGUGUUGUGAAAUGUUGGGUUAAGUCCCGCAACGAGCGCAACCCUUAUCCUUUGUUGCCAGCGGUUCGGCCGGGAACUCAAAGGAGACUGCCAGUGAUAAACUGGAGGAAGGUGGGGAUGACGUCAAGUCAUCAUGGCCCUUAGAGUAGGCGUACACACGUGCUACAAUGGCGUAUACAAAGAGAAGCGACCGUCGCGAGAGCAAGCGGACUCAUAAGUAACGUCGUAGUCCGGAGUUGUAGUCUGCAACUCGUACC
rnacentral:rRNA from 1 species